GGCUAAAGCUCAGGGGAAGAGCAUCUCCUUUGCAUGCAGAAAGGUCCCAAGUUCAAUCCCUGGCAUCUCCA